rnacentral:rRNA from 1 species
UACGUAGGGGGCUAGCGUUAUCCGGAAUUACUGGGCGUAAAGGGUGCGUAGGUGGUUUCUUAAGUCAGAGGUGAAAGGCUACGGCUCAACCGUAGUAAGCCUUUGAAACCGGGGAACAUGAGUGCAGGAGAGGAGAGUGGAAUUCCUAGUGUGGCGGUGAAAUGCGUAGAUAUUAGGAGGAACACCAGUUGCGAAGGCGGCUCUCUGGACUGUAACUGACACUGAGGCACGAAAGCGUGGGGAGCAAACAGG